rnacentral:rRNA from 1 species
GACAGAGGGUGCAAACGUUGCUCGGAAUCACUGGGAGUAAAGGGCGUGUAGGCGGGAAGGAAAGUCAGAUGUGAAAUCCCCAGGCUCAACCUGGGAACUGCAUUUGAAACUCCCUUUCUUGAGUACCGGAGAGGAAAGUGGAAUUCCUGGUGUAGAGGUGAAAUUCGUAGAUAUCAGGAGGAACACCAGUGGCGAAGGCGGCUUUCUGGACGGUAACUGACGCUGAGACGCGAAAGCGUGGGGAGCAAACAGG